AAAAAAUAAAAUAUUAGCUUUUUUUUUUGCUCCAAAAAGACACCAAAUGGCGGAUGACGCCGGUGCAGCGGGAGGGCCCGGAGGCCCCAGGGGCCACGGAAUGGGACACCGCGGUGGCUUUCGCGGAGGUUUUGGCACCGGCCUCCGAGGCCGGGGUCGCGGCCGGGGUCGGGGUCGGGGGCGAGGCCGCGGAGCUCGCGGAGUCAAGGCCGAGGACAAGGAGUGGAUGCCUGUCACCAAGUUGGGCCGCUUGGUCAAGGACAUGAAGAUCAAGUCACUGGAGGAGAUCUAUCUCUUCUCUUUGCCCAUCAAGGAGUCUGAGAUCAUCGACUUUUUCCUUGGUGCCUCUCUGAAGGACGAAGUUCUGAAGAUCAUGCCUGUGCAAAAGCAGACUCGCGCCGGCCAGCGGACUAGGUUCAAGGCGUUUGUUGCCAUCGGGGACUACAAUGGCCACGUCGGUCUAGGUGUUAAAUGCUCCAAAGAAGUAGCCACCGCCAUUCGGGGGGCCAUCAUCCUGGCCAAGCUGUCCAUUGUCCCUGUGCGGAGAGGCUACUGGGGGAACAAGAUUGGCAAGCCCCACACUGUCCCUUGCAAGGUGACUGGCUGCUGUGGCUCUGUCCUGGUGCGCCUUAUCCCUGCCCCCAGAGGCACUGGCAUCGUCUCGGCCCCGUGCCUAAGAAACUGCUCAUGAUGGCUGGCAUUGAUGACUGCUACACCUCAGCCAGGGGCUGCACUGCCACCCUGGGUAACUUCGCCAAGGCCACCUUUGAUGCCAUCUCUAAGACUUACAGUUACUUGACCCCUGACCUCUGGAAAGAGACAGUGUUCACCAAGUCUCCUUAUCAGGAAUUCACCGACCAUCUCGUCAAGACCCACACCAGAGUCUCCAUGCAGAGGACCCAGGCUCCAGCGGUGGCGACGACAUAGGGUUUUCAUACAAAAAAAAAUAAAGUGAACCAAGCCC